GCAAGUCGAACGAGAAAGCACUUCGGUGUGAGUAGAGUGGCGCACGGGUGAGUAACGCGUAGAUGAUAUGCCUUUUAGUGGGGGACAACAGUUGGAAACGACUGCUAAUACCGCAUAAGCUUGGUGACAUUGAAAAAACCAAGGAAAGGGGGCUUCGGCUCUCGCUAGAAGAUUGGUCUGCGUGACAUUAGCUUGAUGGUGGGGUAACGGCCUACCAAGGCGACGAUGCUUAACUGGUCUGAGAGGAUGAUC
rnacentral:rRNA from 1 species